UCGGAAACCGGAGCUAAUACCGGAUAAUAUAUUGAACCGCAUGGUUCAAUAGUGAAAGACGGUUUUGCUGUUACUUAUAGAUGGAUCCGCGCCGCAUUAGCUAGUUGGUAAGGUAACGGCUUACCAAGGCAACGAUGCGUAGCCGACCUGAGAGGGUGAUCGGCCACACUGGAACUGAGACACGGUCCAG
rnacentral:rRNA from 1 species